UGGGUAUUUAGUUUAUUUAAAACAAAUGUUUUGAAAACAUUUAAAGGAAAUUUUUCCAAUCUCC
rnacentral:tRNA from 1 species